rnacentral:tRNA from 1 species
GGUUCUGAGGUGAUUUAUCAUGUUGAAUUGCAAAUUCAAAGGAGCAGCAAUUUAUUCUGCCAGAACUU